rnacentral:rRNA from 1 species
CAGGCUUAACACAUGCAAGUCGAGGGGCAUCGGGGUUGUAGCAAUACAACUGCCGGCGACCGGCGCACGGGUGAGUAACACGUAUGUAACCUGCCCUCUGCAGGGGGAUAAGCGGAAGAAAUUCCGUCUAAUACCGCAUAAUACAAUUUGGAGACAUCUCCGGGUUGUCAAAGGAGUGAUCCGGCAGAGGAUGGACAUGCGGCGCAUUAGCUAGUCGGCGGGGUAACGGCCCACCGAGGCUACGAUGCGUAGGGGUUCUGAGAGGAAGGUCCCCCACACUGGUACUGAGACACGGACCAGACUCCUACGGGAGGCAGCAGUGAGGAAUAUUGGUCAAUGGGCGGAAGCCUGAACCAGCCAAGUCGCGUGAGGGAAGACGGUCCUAUGGAUUGUAAACCUCUUUUGCAGGGGAGCAAGGCGCGGUACGUGUACCGCGAAGGAGAGUACCCUGAGAAAAAGCAUCGGCUAACUCCGUGCCAGCAGCCGCGGUAAUACGGAGGAUGCGAGCGUUAUCCGGAUUUAUUGGGUUUAAAGGGUGCGCAGGCGGACUGUUAAGUCAGCGGUAAAAUGUCGGUGCUCAACACCGGCCGGCCGUUGAAACUGGCAGCCUUGAGUGAGCGAGAAGUAUGCGGAAUGCGUGGUGUAGCGGUGAAAUGCAUAGAUAUCACGCAGAACUCCGAUUGCGAAGGCAGCAUACCGGCGCUCAACUGACGCUCAGGCACGAAAGCGUGGGUAUCGAACAGGCUUAGAUACCCUGGUAGUCCACGCAGUAAA